GACGAACGCUGGCGGCGUGCUUAACACAUGCAAGUCGAGCGGUAAGGCCCUUUCGGGGGUACACGAGCGGCGAACGGGUGAGUAACACGUGGGUGACCUGCCCUCAGCUCUGGGAUAAGCCUGGGAAACCGGGUCUAAUACCGGAUAUGACUCCAUGACGCAUGUUGUGGGGUGGAAAGCCUUGUGCGGCUGAGGAUGGGCCCGCGGCCUAUCAGCUUGUUGGUGGGGUGAUGGCCUACCAAGGCGACGACGGGUAGCCGGCCUGAGAGGGCGACCGGCCACACUGGGACUGAGACACGGCCCAGACUCCUACGGGAGGCAGCAGUGGGGAGUAUUGGACAAUGGGGGCAACCCUGAUCCAGCAAUGCCGCGUGAGUGAUGAAGGCCUUAGGGUUGUAAAGCUCUUUCGGCGGGGAAGAUGAUGACGGUACCCGCAGAAGAAGCCCCGGCUAACUUCGUGCCAGCAGCCGCGGUAAC
rnacentral:rRNA from 1 species